UAAUACGAAGGUGGCAAGCGUUGUUCGGAAUCACUGGGCUUAAAGCGCGCGUAGGCGGAAAUUCAAGUGUCCUGUGAAAUCCCCCGGCUCAACCGGGGAACUGCGGGGCAAACUGGAUUUCUUGAGGCAAGUAGGGGUACAUGGAACUCUUAGUGGAGCGGUGGAAUGCGUAGAUAUUAAGAGGAACGCCGAUGGUGAAGACAGUGUACUGGGCUUGUCCUGACGCUGAGGUGCGAAAGCGUGGGGAGCGAACGGGAUUAGAUACCCCGGUAGUCCACGCCGUAAACGAUGUCUACUAGGUUGUGGAGGUUCUGACACCCUCACAGUCGAAGCAAAAGUGUUAAGUAGACCGCCUGGGGAGUACGGUCGCAAGGCUA
rnacentral:rRNA from 1 species